GGUUGAAGAUUGGAACUAAUCAGAGGACUCUCUCAACUUGAUGACAGUAAAUGAAAUGGUCUCUUCCUGUGCUACAAGAAGCAAUGAACUCGAGAAGAAAGCUUAUCACACUGCAAGUGGUUAAGAUUGGGAAUCUGCUGUUUGAGAGCACGUUGAAGAUUUCUCCCCAUUCCAGAAAGAUAGGGCAACCUAGGCUGUGAAGGGAUACGGAGCAGAAGCGGGUAAAUGGAAUAGAGAGAACAAUGAACUGAAACUGGAAAACAAUGAUUUUCAUUUGAAAGAAAAAUAUGGAAGAAAAGGAGGAAAAUGCUUGGAUGCAGAGCUGCAACAGUUUGGAAUACAUGGAUACAAAAAUGUGAAAACACAUCUCAACAAAUUCAAGAACAGCUUCUUCCCCACUGUUGUCAGACUUACGAACAGACCUCACAUAUACUAGAGUUGAUCUUUCUCUGCACCUUCUCUGAAUUCUGUU